rnacentral:rRNA from 1 species
GACGAACGCUGGCGGCGUGCCUAAUACAUGCAAGUAGAACGCUGAAGAGAGGAGCUUGCUCUUCUUGGAUGAGUUGCGAACGGGUGAGUAACGCGUAGGUAACCUGCCUUGUAGCGGGGGAUAACUAUUGGAAACGAUAGCUAAUACCGCAUAACAAUAGGUGACACAUGUCAUUUAUUUGAAAGGGGCAAUUGCUCCACUACAAGAUGGACCUGCGUUGUAUUAGCUAGUAGGUGAGGUAACGGCUCACCUAGGCGACGAUACAUAGCCGACCUGAGAGGGUGAUCGGCCACACUGGGACUGAGACACGGCCCAGACUCCUACGGGAGGCAGCAGUAGGGAAUCUUCGGCAAUGGGGGCAAUCCUGACCGAGCAACGCCGCGUGAGUGAAGAAGGUUUUCGGAUCGUAAAGCUCUGUUGUAAGUCAAGAACGAGUGUGAGAGUGGAAAGUUCACACUGUGACGGUAGCUUACCAGAAAGGGACGGCUAACUACGUG